UACGGAGGAUGCGAGCGUUAUCCGGAUUUAUUGGGUUUAAAGGGUGCGUAGGCGGAAUAUCAAGUCAGCGGUAAAAAUGCGGUGCUCAACGCCGUAUCGCCGUUGAAACUGCGGGUCUUGAGUGAGCGAGAAGUAUGCGGAAUGCGUGGUGUAGCGGUGAAAUGCAUAGAUAUCAGGAGGAACAUCGGUGGCGAAAGCGCUUUACUGGACCAUUAUUGACGCUGAGGAACGAAAGCCAGGGGAGCAAAUGGG
rnacentral:rRNA from 1 species